rnacentral:rRNA from 1 species
AGGUAGUAUAAAAUUUUUAUAAAAACCAAUAUAAUUUGGCGGCAUUAAUUUUUAUUAGAGGAACUUGUUUAUUGAUCGUCAUUCCACGUUAUUUCUCACUUUAGAAAAAAUUUUAUAUACCGCCGUCUCAGAAUUAAUUUAAAAAUUAAAUUCAAAUUAUAUUUUAUUAAAAUAUAGGUAAAGGUGUAAACAACGCUAAAGAUUAAAUGAGUUACAAUAAAUAUAAUUUAAGGAUAUACUAAAAAAUCAUAAUUUGAAAAAGGAUUUAUAAGUAAUUUUGUAAUAAUAAUAAAAAUUGAAUAAAAUCAAAAAUGUGU